UGGAGGGUGUGUUUGCACACCCUCCAUUUCCAUUUCUUUCAAGACUCUUUGAAAAACCAUUUCAAACAAAGGGAAAACCUAAAGGUUGUAAAGUUAAAAUAAAAAAGACAUUUUCAGCUAUACUAACUUAUGGCCACAGAGCCUGGUAGGAACUCUUGUGUUUUUCUCCAGCGAGUUGAAGCUUUGAAACCAACACAGCUCCCUCUGCAGCUGAGUUAUGGCCUCAUUGGAAACACCUGUCAUCAUUUGCUUCACAUCAACAUGACCAAACACUGAGCUGAAGGUGGCAGCCAUCUAACGGACUGAUUGAACUGUUUAUACCGUAUAUCAGAGCCAUGAAGAGGAAACAAGAUUGAAAGACCACCUGAAAAACAUUGACAGAAGAGAUAUGUGACGUGUGUGGAGCUCUUAAAAACCAGAGCCAAGGACCUCUGGCAGCGUAAUGGAUGCACUUGACUGCACUGGAGUCUAAAAUGGUGCCAAGGAAAACUGGGAUUACAUCAUCUGCUCUCGUUCUUGGACUGGAAUUCAACAUGCUGUUUGCAAGAGGUUACAGUGCUGAGGCAGGACACCUAGAACAGCCUGGCCCUGGGAGACCCUGCAUUAAAGGACAGGGACUAACCGCAGUGUCUCCCACGGUCAGAACAAUCUGGAUCCCCCCCUGUCAGUGGUGUGUACCUGCAGGACUGAGCCGGCCACUGUACCUGAAUAAAAUUCCCAGGAAAACACCUGGCCACAGGAGGGCGCCACUGCUUUACACUUAGAAGAAACUAUAACCAGUGUUAGAGCAUCACACAACCCAGCCUCACACCUCCACAUAAGGGUGAACGAGCAACAAACGU